GCCCCGGGUAAAGAGAACGGUGCACCACACCGUGUAUAUAUACAGUGUGUGUUGUUAGCAUCCUCACAACACUGGGUUGAACUUGAGCUCCACACCCUCCCUACACCAACAUGUCUCUGAGAUUGGUAAUGGUCUUCCUGGUGGUGGUCGCUGUGGCCAUGAUGGCCAUGGCCACGGCGUCUCCAGUCUCCGAUCCAGGAUUUUUCGGUGGAUAUGGGCCUGGAUAUGGGUAUGGAUAUGGGUACCGUAGGUUCGGCAGGUUUGGUGGAUUCAGAGGUGGAUAUGGUGGCUAUGGUGGAUAUGGUGGCUAUGGUGGCUUUGGAUUCUGAGCGUGUGCUGUGCUGUUGCUCUUCUCUUCUCUUGUUCAUCCUAUGAAAUAAACGACUAUUUUUUAAAUAAAAAAGUUAUUGUUACCUACAA